rnacentral:rRNA from 1 species
UGGGGAAUUUUGGACAAUGGGCGCAAGCCUGAUCCAGCCAUGCCGCGUGCGGGAAGAAGGCCUUCGGGUUGUAAACCGCUUUUGUCAGGGAAGAAAUCUUCUGAGUUAAUACCUCGGGAGGAUGACGGUACCUGAAGAAUAAGCACCGGCUAACUACGUGCCAGCAGCCGCGGUAAUACGUAGGGUGCAAGCGUUAAUCGGAAUUACUGGGCGUAAAGCGUGCGCAGGCGGUUUUGUAAGACAGAGGUGAAAUCCCCGGGCUCAACCUGGGAACUGCCUUUGUGACUGCAAGGCUUGAGUGCGGCAGAGGGGGGCAUGGAAUUCCGCGUGUAGCAGUGGAAAUUGCGUAGAUAUGCGGAGGAACACCGAUGGCGAAGGCAAUUCCCCUGGGGCCUGCACUGACGCUUCAUGCACGAAAGCGUGGGGAGCAAACAGGAUUAGAUACCCUGGUAGUCCNCGCCCUAAACGAUGUCAACUGG